UACGUAGGGGGCAAGCGUUGUCCGGAAUUAUUGGGCGUAAAGAGCGCGUAGGCGGUCCGAUAAGUCGGCUGUGAAAGUCAGGGGCUCAACCCUUGAAAGCCGGCCGAUACUGUCGGACUAGAGUCCGGAAGAGGCAAGUGGAAUUCCCGGUGUAGCGGUGAAAUGCGCAGAUAUGUGGAGGAACACCGAUGGCGAAGGCAGCCUCCUGGGCCAGCACUGACGCUCAUGCACGAAAGCGUGGGGAGCAAACAGG
rnacentral:rRNA from 1 species